GAAUUGUUUUGUCUCCAAAAACCUAAUACCCAUUAACCCAAAAUUUUCGUCCCAAAAUUUUCGUCCCAAAAUGUCCCAAAGUUUUCGUCCCCAGAAACCUAACAUCCAUUAACCCGAAACUUUUGCCCCAAAAUGUCAUCUUCUUCAACUCUUCUUCUCUCAAUUAAGAUUUUCGCAAUCUUCACUCAAAUUUCCUCCAAAAUCGAUGGCUAGAUCCCUCUUUCUCUCUCUAAACAAAUCCAUCUCCACCGUCAUCUCCAGCCCCGCCACAAGUGUCACCUCCUUCCCCUCAGCCCAUCGUCUCACCUCGUAUCUCUCCGCGCUCAAUCCAACCAAACCGACCUCUCCGACCUUUCCACUUCUUCCGACUCCACCAUCGACCCUUUGCACUCGACUUCAUUAUCGAUGCAAUAUGGAUUUCAUAUCACCUAUUGGGCUCUGCUAAAUGUUUUAGGAGCUAUUGCUUUGGGCGCACCUGUGGGCAUUCAGUAUGUGAAGUAACGGUAGAUAAAAAUUUGUGCCUUUUUUUUUGGAUAUAAAAUGUCAUAAAUGUUAUGUGAAAGAAGUUUUCGUUCAAUUUCUUUAGGUGGUUGGAAUACAGCUGAAUCCUCAGUUUAUGGGCAUUGAUCUCAGAUGAGCGUGGCAGGAGCCAGAAAAGCUGGUCAAAGUCAAUAUGGGUGGUUGAAGGAAGCAUUGGAUAGAUUAGUAGAGCAACUAACGUCGCAACGACAACAACUUGAUGAGGAAUAACUGGUAAAUCAUUCUUUGAAGCUAAUCAAGAAAAUCUGAAUUGUUAAUAAAAUGUUGUUGAAGACAAAGAGAUUGCAUUUAGGGCAGAUAAACUUGAGAUCGAAGUAGUAGGGAUGGAAGCAAACAAGAAACUAUGACAGCAUUGAAGAUUUUGGGCUAUAGGAAAGAACAAAGAUGUUUGCAAUUUUGUUUCUUGUUUCACUCUUUUGGGAUUGGAAUCCUGAAACUUACUUUGAAGAUUCUGUGGUAGUGGUUAAGUAGGAAUUGUAAUGUUGACAGUUUUUGUUAAUAAAGAAGGGCAAUUUGAUUU